rnacentral:lncRNA from 10 species
CUUUAAGGUUGAAAAAUUAAGGGAAACCAAAGGAUGAGCACUAACAGCCCAAGGAUUUCUCAAAGAUUUACAAUCCUGUCUUGUGUGCAUACUGCGUGGCCAGCAUGACUAGAUCUGGAAGUCCUUUUAAUGGUGCUUUCUGGAACAGGGUUGCCAAAAAAAUUGUCAUCAAAAAAUCAAAGCCAAGAUGAUGAUGUGAUGAAAUGGAGCCAGUCAACUGCACACCCAGAGCUGCUCCUGAGAACAAACUCAGGAGUAGCUGGCUCCCUAGAGGGAAGACUUCAUUUCAAGGAAGUAAGGAACUUUAUGCACUUGUAAAGUGAUAAACAAAUCUUACAUGAACAACAUUGCAAGGGUUUCAAAUAUCAAAAUAACACCUUGAGACAGCAUCAAAGAUAUCAAAGGAAAUGUCCAGUAUCCUCAAGUCACAUAUGACAACCAGCCUGCUAGAAAGAAAGAAAUGGCAGAUAAAAUAUUCAAGUCUUUCUGCCAACUUGUAACCUAAAUCAUGGCUUGUCACAUUCUCUUGGUUGAACCAAGGAAAAUCAAGGAAGAGAACAAGACAAAUAUCUUGUGUGAAGGCCACUAAGAAAAGUGAUAAAAACAAGAUCCUUUCAUAACCACUCUUUUGCUUAACACAACUGAGCUAAAGUGCUUCUUUUUUAGAUUAGCAAACCAGUCUAAAAUGUCAUAUUUCUUUUCAUUAGUGUCAUCUUACAUAAUAAUCUGUCAUCUUUGAAAUCUCUCUGCCCCUUCUGUUCCCCCAUAUCAAGUUGGUUAAAAGUCCUGUUGAUUCUCUCUGUAUACUCACUAUGAGUGUGUCCUUUUUUCCUGACUUCAGAGCACCUAUUUAGUUCAGUCUUUGAUAGGGUUUGCCUUGCCUGAUCUAUUACAACCAACUUCCUCCUCCAUGUCUUUCCAUAAUCAAACACAUGCUCCAAAUUGGAGCCAACAAUAUGCUCCUAAUGCUAGAAUCUGAUAUUGUUACAUCUGUAUUAGAUAUACUUUUUUAAAAAAGCUAACAGCAGCCAUUAUUUCAGGAAAGCACUUCUCCAUCUUCCUAUCAAUAAUCCUGCUCAGUCCACUGGGUUUCAGGGACUAACCCCGUCCCCACCCCAACUGUCCACCCCAUCCCCCACAUCCCCCAACAUACGCACAGGAUCCAGGCCAUCUGCCAUGGGCCAUGUGACUGGUCUGAGAUUGAGAAACGAAUCAUGUGAAUGGCCCCAUACUGACCAAGCAAAGUCCUCGCUGGAGCCUUCUGCCAACAUGGUCAAGAAAGGCACUUUCUUCUCAGUGACCACAGGCUCCAAGGACUGCAGAGGCUGAACCUGUCUGGGACACUCCCACAGAGAACAAAGCCACACCAAGCCCAGAAGAGGUCAGAGAACAUGAGAAGCCAGAAGAAGGAAGGGGCAAAGGAUCUAGCAAAAGUAAAGACAUCAUUGGCAUCCCUGACUCUGCCAUGCUUCUGUCUUGGAUUUACCAGUUAUAUGAGCAAAUAGAUGCUUUUUUUUUCCUUGUAAACUAUUCUGAAUUGUCUUCUUGACACUUUUGUGUGCAAAAGCAUUAUAAUGGAUAUAAUCCCACUAUUGAGA